AAAAAGGCUUUAAUAAAAGCCAUAAACUGCCUGAUUCUGUUUCCA
rfam:Larimichthys crocea isolate SSNF unplaced genomic scaffold scaffold652, whole genome shotgun sequence.